UACGGAGGAUCCGAGCGUUAUCCGGAAUUACUGGGCGUAAAGGGUGCGUAGGUGGUUUCUUAAGUCAGAGGUGAAAGGCUACGGCUCAACCGUAGUAAGCCUUUGAAACUGGGAAACUUGAGUGCAGGAGAGGAGAGUGGAAUUCCUAGUGUAGCGGUGAAAUGCGUAGAUAUUAGGAGGAACACCAGUUGCGAAGGCGGCUCUCUGGACUGUAACUGACACUGAGGCACGAAAGCGUGGGUAGCAAACAGGAUUAGAUACCCGUGUAGUCCCUGAG
rnacentral:rRNA from 1 species